rnacentral:rRNA from 1 species
AUUGAACGCUGGCGGCAUGCUUUACACAUGCAAGUCGAACGGUAACAGGCCGCAAGGUGCUGACGAGUGGCGAACGGGUGAGUAAUGCAUCGGAACGUGCCCAGUCGUGGGGGAUAACUACUCGAAAGAGUAGCUAAUAUCGCAUACGAUCUAUGGAUGAAAGCGGGGGACCGUAAGGCCUCGCGCGAUUGGAGCGGCCGAUGUCAGAUUAGGUAGUUGGUGGGGUAAAGGCUCACCAAGCCAACGAUCUGUAGCUGGUCUGAGAGGACGAACAGCCACACUGGGACUGAGACACGGCCCAGACUCCUACGGGAGGCAGCAGUGGGGAAUUUUGGACAAUGGGCGCAAGCCUGAUCCAGCAAUGCCGCGUGCAGGAAGAAGGCCUUCGGGUUGUAAACUGCUUUUGUACGGAACGAAACGGCUCUGGUUAAUACCCGGGGCUAAUGACGGUACCGUAAGAAUAAGCACCGGCUAACUACAUG